rnacentral:rRNA from 1 species
UACGUAGGGCGCAAGCGUUGUCCGGAAUUAUUGGGCGUAAAGAGCUCGUAGGCGGCCUGUUGCGUCCGCUGUGAAAUCCCGGGGCUUAACCCCGGGUCUGCAGUGGAUACGGGCUGGCUAGAGGCAGGCAGGGGAGAACGGAAUUCCCGGUGUAGCGGUGAAAUGCGCAGAUAUCGGGAGGAACACCGGUGGCGAAGGCGGUUCUCUGGGCCUGUUCUGACGCUGAGGAGCGAAAGCGUGGGGAGCAAACAGG